UACAGAGGUGGCAAGCGUUGUUCGGAAUUACUGGGCGUAAAGCGCGUGUAGGCGGCUCUUCAAGUCAGGCGUGAAAGCCCCGGGCUCAACCUGGGGACUGCACUUAAUACUGGAUGGCUUGAAUUCGGGAGAGGAUAGCGGAAUUCCCAGUGUAGAGGUGAAAUUCGUAGAUAUUGGGAAGAACACCGGUGGCGAAGGCGGCUAUCUGGACCGACAUUGACGCUGAGGCGCGAAAGCGUGGGGAGCAAACAGGAUUAGAUACCCGUGUAGU
rnacentral:rRNA from 1 species